rnacentral:rRNA from 1 species
AUACGGAGGGUGCGAGCGUUAUUCGGAAUUACUGGGCGUAAAGCGCGUGUAGGCGGGGAGGCAAGUCUGAUGUGAAAGCCCCGGGCUUAACCUGGGAAGUGCAUUGGAAACUGCAUUUCUUGAGUGCUGGAGAGGAAGGGGGAAUUCCCGGUGUAGAGGUGAAAUUCGUAGAUAUCAGGAGGAACACCGGUGGUGUAAACGGCUUUCUGGACCGUAACUGACGCUGAGACACGAAAGCGUGGGUAGC